rnacentral:antisense_RNA from 1 species
AAAGAGUGAAGCCUUCUAAGUACAGUACCUGGCACAACGAAUUGUCAGGCAAAUGGCAAAUCUUCUCUGCAGAAGGGAGCUGUGACUCAGUACCCACAAUCCACGCUGGAGUCUCCUUAUAAUCCUGAAGAGGGAAGCCCAGAGGAAAUCAUCUGGUCUAACCAUAAAAUCAUCAAUACUGGCAAAUUAAAAGGGGAACAUGUCAGGCCUCACUCUUUCUGUACUGGCUUUCAAGAGUAUUGUCUUUGAGGGAAAGCCAUCUCCUUCUUGACACCGUGGCUACCCUUAGACCCCUCGUGAAGCCCAAGAUCAUCAAAAAUGGACCAAGAAGUUUAUCCUUCACCAGUCGGACUGACAUAUCAAAAUUAGAUGUACGCAUAUAGCAGCAACCCAGAGGCAUUGACAACAGGGUGUGGAGAAAAAUCAAAGGCAAGACCUUGACCGCCAAUAUUGGUUGUGGGAGCAAAAAGAAGCAAAACAUGCUCCCCAGUGGCUUCCAAAAAUUCCUGUUCCACGAUGU